ensembl:lncRNA
GGAAAUUCUAAGGUGGAAAGGUCAGUCUCCUAAAACAGGAGAUAUAGGGACCUGAGCUUCACUUUCAUUCAGGCUCCUGGAGAGGCUGCCUUUAUUUGCAUUGAAGAAGAGGCAAUGGAAGGACUCAGAAGACUGUUGCCCUGGAAGAAGAGGAGCAGGAAGACCCUGCAUGUCCAGUGGACCAGAGACCCUACAAGUCUAAGGCACAGAGACCUGAUAAGUCCAAAGAGACUGGCAGCCAUUCUUACUAAUUUCUUGCUGAAAUGUGGCUCUGGAGAGUUUUGUGAAACUGGAGAGCAUUAUGUGUUUUUGACUGGACCUCAUACUCUAACAUCUUGCUUCCCUGAGCUGCCAUAUCAGCAUGUUAUUUUCUAUACCUUUUCCUUGCACUUCAGACAUUUAUUUUGUGUUCCAAUCUCCUCCUCCAUGUCUACAACACAUCCUUAACCCUCAUUUCCACACUCCCACAUAAUCUACUGGAAGGGUGAUUUUUUUGGCAUUUGUGAGCGGUGUUAACAAGGAUCAGAUGGUGCCAUUGUUUAUGAAAGAACCAGGUUUCCUUUACCAGCUGUGGCAUGCACCAGUAAAAAAAAAAACAUCCAGCAGUGUGGACUUUACAGUGGAGUUCUUGUAUUUAGCAGGUGAAAAGUCAAUACUCUACCUGUAAUGAGAUUCGGUCAUGGAAAACCCCUUGAAGUUGUUUUUAGCAACGAGGCAUUAGUCACCCUUGGACAGCUGCUGGCCACUCGGCGCUUCUGGCUCGCACCGCGCCACGUGCAAGGGCUGUUUUGAAGGCUGCUCAGUGUUAAUGGUGACUCUUGCUACGCCUCAGGUGUUGAGUUUAAGCACAUGGUUUCUGGUUAUUUUAGGAAAACAUGAGCUCAUGUUCCAAGCAGCCUUUCCUCCAGUGAGAAGUUCAUUGCAGCCCAUCCCUGUGCAUGGGGCUGGGGAUGGUUAUACCCCGUGUCUUUGGGGGACUAGUGUGCCUUGGGUUUUCUUCCAAGUCUGGGGAUAUGGGAUGGUGUGAUGAUGAAGUGGUGAGAUGAUGCAGUGCUGUGAUGGGGCUGUGCUGGGGAGUGCCUCCAAAAGCAUCACCAGAAGCCUGAUGGCCACCCAAAGCAUUUUGCUGCACCCAGUGCCCUUGUGGGUGGUAGCCUGCCCAUGCUGAGGAACUGAGGGUGUGUUUGGAGGAUAUGAAGAGGUUGGUCAGGGAACUCAUGGAAAUGCAAGUGCAAGGGCUGAGAAAAAGGUGCUUUCUGUGUCAUAGACAUAGGUUAGGAAAAGAGGAGACAGCAGAGAGGUGAGAUCAUGGAGCAAGGAGGAGUGGAAUCUAUUAGAGCAUCAAAUGGCUGGAUUAAGUCAUACCACGUGAAGGCUAAGGCAGCUCCUAAAGAAAGGGAAAAUACAGGUGAUGAAGGAAGAAGUCAGUUUAACAGACCUGAAAUCUGGCCUGCCUGCAGAAAUGCGGGCUUGGAGCAAUGACCUUCUUUGGGAAGAAAAGGAGAAGCUGCUGACCAGUGGAUGCUUACCCAUUUCCUCCAGCCCAUGGCUUCCCCCAGUCUCCAGCAUUGGCUGAGUAGGAAGGGACCUUUGCUCAAGGAGAGUGCUGGAUUUUCUGGCUGGUGGACAAGGGCAAGGAAGACCUGGUGAGGACAGUUCUUGCACUAGAUAUGGAGAGUGGGGAUCCAUGUUGAUGAGUGUCAGGAACUAGUGAGGGGGAACCACAAAAAAUGGUCAGCAAGGGUCCUGUCUCUGGGACCAGCCAACCCUUUACUUCCUCUGCAGCUCAGGCAGAGUUUGCAGAGAAGAGAGUCUGAUAAUACAUUGUCCCCACUUUAUAAGCAAAUAUCUUGAAAUAAUACAUACAACUUUUGCUGAUAUCUUUAUCAUAGAGCAAUCUAAGGGUGUGCGUAGCUUGGAUCUGACAAGCAGAUCUCAGAAAACUUCUUCUGAUAGAGAGUGCAUUUAAAUGGAGAUGACAGGGAGAAUUUCAAUUUCAAUUUCUUCUAUAGAUAUGACCAAAAAAAAAAGAGCAAAUGUGAAAGUGUUAGAAAAGAAACAGAAUUUCAUUUAGACAUCUUGUGUUGAAACAUUGUGAUGUCUUUCUUUGAGAACUUUCAGGGCCACUGUACCCCUCAUUCAAGACACUUAGAAAAACCAAGACAUGAGAACAGCAGAAACCAGGCAGAACAGUCUUGUUGAGGCUUCCUGAGAGAGGAAAAGUGGUUGUUUCAGCUGUUGAAUUAUUCCUUCAGUUCUACUGCUCAAGUUCUCCUGAGUUGCUCCAGUGGCACCAUGGAGUCUUAAAUCUAGCCAAAGGAUUCUCGUGGUGCAGGAAAACCCCUAUGUAGCCUCAAGCCAGGGAAGUUGUUUAAGUGAGGCUACAGUUGUGUUUAGACCAGGAAUGGUUCUCUGUAUAGGGCUGGAAGCAUGUGGAAAGGCACAAUGCAGCUGAGAAGUUCCCUCCUCUGUUUCCAUUUUGUGGCUUCUGCAAUAAUCUGUCAAAGGAACCUUAUAAACCCCUAAGUGGUGGGGUUUUUAAAGCAUGGCUGUUAUGGUAAUGGUUUAAUGCUGCCUCCUUUGUUAUGUGUUAAUGGUGCCUUCCUCUUAAGUCUACUAAUAAAAGAAACUUAAACAUCA